UAAAGGAGAGAUCCGGCAUAGGAUGGACAUGCGUCGCAUUAGGUAGACGGCGGGGUAACGGCCCACCGUGCCGACGAUGCGUAGGGGUUCUGAGAGGAAGGCCCCCCACACUGGUAUUGAGACACGGACCAGACUCCUACGGGAGGCAGCAGUGAGGAAUAUUGGUCAAUGGCCGAGAGGCUGAACCAGCCAAGUCGCGUGAGGGAAGAAUGUCCUAAGGAUUGUAAACCUCUUUUGUCGGGGAGCAAAAAGGCUCUGCGGAGUCGUAUUGAGAGUACCCGAAGAAAAAGCAUCGGCUAACUCCGUGCCAGCAGCCGCGGUAAUACGGAGGAUGCGAGCGUUAUCCGGAUUUAUUGGGUUUAAAGGGUGCGCAGGCGGCGUGUCAAGCAAGCGGUAAAAUAGCGGGGCUCAACCCCGUCGAGCCGUUUGAACUGGCGCGCUUGAGUUCAGGCGAGGUAGGCGGAAUUCGUGGUGUAGCGGUGAAAUGCAUAGAUAUCACGAAGAACUCCGAUUGCGAAGGCAGCUUACCAGUCUGCGACUGACGCUCAGGCACGAAAGUGUGGGUAUCGAACAGGAUUAGAUAUCCUGGUAGUCCACACAGUAAACGAUGAGCGCUAGGUGUCCGGGUCGCAUGAGACUUGG
rnacentral:rRNA from 1 species